rnacentral:rRNA from 1 species
UACGUAGGUGGCAAGCGUUGUCCGGAUUUACUGGGCGUAAAGCGUGCGCAGGCGGUUCGUUGUGUCUGAUGUGAAAGCCCCGGGCUCAACCUGGGAAUGGCAUUGGAAACUGGCGAGCUGGAGUGUGGCAGAGGGGGGUGGAAUUCCGCGUGUAGCAGUGAAAUGCGUAGAGAUGCGGAGGAACACCGAUGGCGAAGGCAGCCCCCUGGGCCAACACUGACGCUCAGGCACGAAAGCGUGGGGAGCAAACAGG